rnacentral:rRNA from 1 species
CCUACGGGUGGCAGCAGUGGGGAAUAUUGCACAAUGGGGGAAACCCUGAUGCAGCAACGCCGCGUGAGUGAAGAAGUAUUUCGGUAUGUAAAGCUCUAUCAGCAGGGAAGAAGAUGACGGUACCUGAUUAAGAAGCCCCGGCUAACUACGUGCCAGCAGCCGCGGUAAUACGUAGGGGGCAAGCGUUAUCCGGAUUUACUGGGGGUAAAGGGGGUGUAGCCGGGGUGACAAGUCAGAUGUGAAAUCCGGUGGCUAAACCCCCGAACUGCAUUUGAAACGGUUGGUCUUGAGUAUCGGAGAGGCAGGCGGAAUUCCUGUUGUAGCGGUGAAAUGCG